GAUGGCUCCAAACUUUGACCCUUGCUUUUGUCUCAUCAGAGAGAGAUGUCCAAUUCAUCCCAGCCACUGCUAUGUCUCAGAUGAAAGACAAAGAGUCCUAGAAGAAGGGAAGGAGAAGCACCAGAGCAGCAUUAUUUCAUCUGUCCAUUAGCCCCAGAUGUUUGGCAUAAACUACAAAAACUCCAAAUGUGCCCACAGACACCUAUGGCCUAAUUGCUGGACACAGCCCUUGUGUUUAACAACCAGGAGCCAGAGGAGAGCCAAGAGAGAAAGCCUAAGAUUAUAGCUGUUGCAACUGGCAGUGGUUUAAACUCAUCCAAAUUGUGCAAAGGAAAACCCAGGGACAACUGAGGAAAGCGUUCUUGUUUCAAUUGCAAGAGGGCUGGACAUUGAGAUUACACUAAGCCUCUGACUCAUGGCACCGGAGGCUUGAGUCCCUGCUCCCAGAGAGGGGCCAGGCCAGCCAGAACCCUCACUUCCUGCUCUGACGACAGAAGAGGCCCAGGGGAACCUGCAAUGGCCCCGUCCACGGACAUCGCCAUCCUGAGGAGCCCUGGGUAACCUAGGACAUCAUGGCCGAGCCAAUUCAACUGCUCAUCAACACAGGGUGCUCAUUCCAUUUUUUCUUCCUUCUCUGGAAAACCCUCCUCUAGGUCUGUAGCCAUAGCUGGGGUCAAGGUGACCCCUAACGGGAUUAUUUACUCCUCCUCUGAAAUGUCACUUUGAAGGCC
rnacentral:lncRNA from 1 species